rnacentral:rRNA from 1 species
GACGAACGCUGGCGGCGUGCUUAACACAUGCAAGUCGAACGGUAAGGCCCUUUCGGGGGUACACGAGUGGCGCACGGGUGAGUAACACGUGGGUGAUCUGCCCUGCACUUUGGGAUAAGCCUGGGAAACUGGGUCUAAUACCGGAUAGGACUACGCGAUGCAUGUCGUGUGGUGGAAAGCUUUUGCGGUGUGGGAUGGGCCCGCGGCCUAUCAGCUUGUUGGUGGGGUGAUGGCCUACCAAGGCGACGACGGGUAGCCGGCCUGAGAGGGUGUCCGGCCACACUGGGACUGAGAUACGGCCCAGACUCCUACGGGAGGCAGCAGUGGGGAAUAUUGCACAAUGGGCGCAAGCCUGAUGCAGCGACGCCGCGUGGGGGAUGACGGCCUUCGGGUUGUAAACCCCUUUCAGCACAGACGAAGCGUAAGUGACGGUAUGUGCAGAAGAAGCACCGGCCAACUACGUG